rnacentral:pre_miRNA from 1 species
AGGGAGAGCGCCAGAUCUUGGGCUUUGUCCCCAGCGCCCUGUGCUCCCGGGCUUGCGCUGUUGGAAUUGCGCUCUUGGCCGCACAGCUCCCU